GUUACUCUCCGGCAGUUAUCCCGUUCUACACGCCGAUGUCCCCUAGGUGGGCACCGAGGUAACGGAGCGGAAAAGCAGGAGGAGAGGCGUGGUGCCCGCUGUCUAGAAGCGGAUGCGAGGCCCCCUGAGCCCGCAGUUGACGGCGGUGCCCUCGUUCCCGCCCUGCUCGCCGCCUCUCCCNNNNNNNNNNNNNNNNNNNNNNNNNNNNNNNNNNNNNNNNNNNNNNNNNNNNNNNNNGGUGGCCGAGGCCGCGCCGAUGAACCCGGCUCAGGAGGCAAGUCUCUAACUGAAGACAAGGGUUUGAUAGACUACGGACAUUGGUUUGUACAUUCAGAUCAGUUCCAGCUGACCCCUAAGAUAUGUCAGUAAUUGGUUUAAUCUAGAGAGACAUUCUGUAUUGCUUCUUGCUUUAACUGACUUGCAUCUUCUAGGUCCCAUGUUGUCCAGCUAGAGCUGAGAGGGAGUGGACAUGGCUCCAGGCACAGCACGAGAGCCUCAGAGUGGGCCUGGCCCUGGUGAUUCACAUCUGGGGGAGGAUGUGAUGUCACAGCUGGGUUCACAUCAUACCAGGAACAUGUCCUGUGCCCAGCACUGUUUGGGUGUGUUGCACCCCAACCUUGAGUCUUUUGCCUGGCUGCUGACAUGGAGCUGAGGACCAAUAGACACCUUCUGGGCAGAAUAUUUCUGUAGAAGUGCCCCAGAUACAUCCUUCAACGGCAGACUUGUCCACCCAGACGACCUGUCCCUGGGAGAGGUGUAGGCUGGAAGAGCUGCACAGUCCCUGCUUCCACAUUGUCGUCACAUUGCGGGAAGCUGGGGAGGAUUUCCCUGGUAGCUCUGGCUUCCCCCUCCCAGCAGCCCUGGGAUCUAUUUGCUUUCCUUUAACAAAGACUUCGCCUGCUUGCUGCCUGUGUGUUCCUGGAGUUCAUUUCUUUGACUGCCCUGAUCAGGAACCCGGAUUCCCAUAUCAUCUUUCUGGUGGUAUCUUUUGGGGACUAGUCUGGGAUCCAAUCCAAUACAUCUGCACUCAUAAGAACGUCUGAGUCCCUGCCAGAUCUCCAGCAACAGAUUCAUGGGAUGUCUGAUCCAGCUCGCCCUCUGGAACUAGUUGACCUCUUCCUCCUGGUGGAAAUAUUUCAUCACCAUAGCCAUCAUCAUGAUCUUUAAUCCUUUUAUUUGGACCCUAUAUAAUUAAUUGUAUUUCUCACUUCAUUACAUCCCAGUUAAAAACUAUGGACCUGGAGUUCCCGUCGUGGCUCAGGGGUUAACGAAUCCGACUAGGAACCAUGAGGUUGCAGGUUCAACCCCUGGCCUUGCCCAGUGGGUUAAGGAUCUGCCAUUGCUGUGAGCUGUGGUGUAGGCCACAGACAUGGCUCAGAUCCCACGUUGCUGUGGCUCUGGUAUAGGCUGGUGGCUAUAGCUCUGAUUUGACGCCCUAGCCUGGGAACCUCCAUAUGCCGUGGGAGCAGCCCUAGAAAAGGAAAAAAGACACCCCCCCCAAAAAAAAAAAAAAAAACUUAAUUGAGCUAUAUAGUCAGUUUGCCUUGAACUAACAUACCUAAAAUGUAUGGCUUGGUAAAUUUUAACCUGCCUAAGCCCAUGGAAUGAUCAUCAUAACAUUCAUCACUCCUCUAUCUUUUGACAUUUCUCCCUAGGCCCCCAGGCUCUGCCACUUUUUCACCUUCAGUUAGUGUUUUCUAGACUUCUUUUUCCUGAAAAUAAUACUCUGUGAACAUGUACAGAAAAUUCUUUAUAUGAACAUAUGACUUUAAAAUGAAAGCUCUUUUUACAUCCCCAUGGACAGUAUGGGAGUGUUUGUUCACUUUCCCUGUCUAUAUUCUUUCAUUAAAAAAAAAAAUUUUUUUUUUUUUUUUUUUUUUUUUUUUUUUUGAAUAGGCAGGAAAUCUAAGCUAGGACAACUGAGGGGUUCCUGUCCUGGCUCAGCAGUUAAGAAAGCUGACAAAUUUGACCCCUGGCCUCUCUCAAUGGGUUGGGGAUCCAAUAUUACCCUGAGCUGUGGUGUAGGUUAUGGUCGAGGCUCAGUUCCUCUGCUGUAGGCUGACAGCCGUAGCUCUGAUUUGACCCCUAGCCUGAGAACCUCUAUAUGCCCCUGGUGUCACCCUAAAAAGAAAGAAAACCUAUCUCUACACAGGCCAAGAUAAAGUCCAAAGAAAAUGGUGACUACGUGGGGCAAAUGCUCUCAUGGUCACGUCAUAGGAAACAUGGAUUUCAGCAUGACUGACCAACCACAAUUGACGGAAAAUAAAUGCCCUCCACUCCACCCCAGGGGGGUUGGCGGGGGGGGGGCCUUAAAGGGGGAGUACAUCUGUACUAUGUAACACUAUGUGUGUUGAAAUAUGGCAAAAGUGAUGGUGAACUGUAAUCUCAUCAAAAACAAAGCAAAAGGUGACCUGGGCAUCUCAGAACAUGAUUGUGUUAAAAGAACCUGGUUCAUAACCGUGAGGAUGCUGGAUCCCUGGCCUCUCCCCGUGGCUUAAGAAACUAGCAUUGCUGUGAGCUGUGGUGUAGGACGGCAUUCCACCCCCUAAGCCUGGGAGUUUUCAUAUGCCAUUGGUGCGGCCCUAAAUCCAUUUCUUGGAUUAUUUUUGUCUUUUUAGGGCUACACCCUGGCAUACGGAGGUUCCCAGGCUAGGGGUCUAAUCGGAGCUAGAGCUGCCAGCCUACACCAGAGCCACAGCAAAGUCAGAUCCGAGCUGUGUCUGCGACCUACACCCCAGCUCAUGGCGACGCUAGAUCCUUAACCCACUGAGCUAGGCCAGGGAUCGAACACACAACCUCAUGGUUCCUAGUCGGAUUCGUUUCCACUGCAUAACGAUGUGA
ensembl:lncRNA